AGAUUAAAAUAAUUAAGGGCACACAAAGGAUGCCUAGGUAGUAAGAGCCGAUGAAGGACGUGGUAAGCUGCGAUAAGCCUAGAUAAGUUGCAAUCGAACGUAAGAGUCUAGGAUUUCCGAAUGGAGCAAUCUAUUAAGAUGGAGUCUUAAUACGAAAGAGGGAACCACGUGAACUGAAACAUCUAAGUAACGUGAGGAAAAGAAAGUAAAAACGAUACCCAAAGUAGCGGCGAGCGAACUGGGUCAAGCCUAAACCUUAAAUAUGUCAAGGAUACAGCCGUUGUAUUUAAGGGGUUGAGGGACAAAGUAGUGAAGAACUGUAAGAUAUUCAAUAUAGUGUAUUGAUGAAUUAGAAUUGUAUGGAAAGAUAAACCGCAGAAGGUGAGAGUCCUGUAUAAGUAAAUCCUUACACAUAUAACUUUGCUCCCAAGUAACAUGGAACACGAGGAAUUCUGUGUGAAUCAGUGAGGACCAUAUCUCAUAAGGCUAAAUACUCUUACUAACCGAUAGCGCAUAGUACCGUGAGGGAAAGGUGAAAAGAACCCCUGGAGGGGAGUGAAAUAGAACCUGAAAUUGUGUGCUUACAAGCGGUCAGAGCCCAUUUGGGUGAUGGCGUGCCUUUUGGAGAAUGAUCCUGCGAGUUACGUUAAACGGCGAGGUUAAGUAUAACGGAGCCGAAGGGAAACCAAGUCUUAAUAGGGCGAUAUAGUCGUUUGGCGUAGACGCGAAACCUGGUGAUCUAAACCUGUCCAGGAUGAAGCUGUGGUAAGACACAGUGGAGGUCCUAACCCACCGCCGUUGAAAAGUUGGGGGAUGAGGUAGGUUUAGGGGUGAAAAGCCAAUCGAACCAGGAGAUAGCUCGUUCUCUCCGAAAUGCAUCUAGGUGCAGCCUUGAGUGUUCAAUUAUGGGGGUAGAGCACUGAAUGAUCUAGGGGGCAUAUUGCUUACUGAAAUCAAUCAAACUCCAAAUACCAUAAUUUAUAGCUCAGGAGUGAGACCAUGGGAGUUAACUUCCAUUGUCAAAAGGGAAACAACCCAGACCACCAGCUAAGGUCCCUAAUUAUAACUAAGUGGGAAAGGAGGUGGAGAUUCACAAACAACUAGGAGGUUGGCUUAGAAGCAGCCAUACCUUUAAAGAGUGCGUAAUAGCUCACUAGUCGAGAGUCUCUGCGCCGACAAUGUAACGGGGCUAAGUUAUAAACCGAAGCUGUGGAAUCCUUAUGGAUUGGUAGGAGAGCGUUCUGUAGGCUGUUGAAGAAGAAGGGUAACCAACUUUGGAGGUAUCAGAAGUGAGAAUGCAGGAAUAAGUAGCGAGAAAGGGGGCGAGAAUCCCCCUCGCCGGAAGACCAAGGUUUUCAGGGUAAAGCUUGUCUUCCCUGAGUAAGCCGGGACCUAAGCCCAGGCUAUAAUGCGUAGGCGAAUGGAAAACAGAUUAAUAUUUCUGUGCCAGUCAUUUAUUGUGAUGGAGGGACGCAGAAGGGUAUGUGCGCGGACGAUCGGUUGUGUCCGUAGAAGUAUGUAGGGUGACUUAGUAGGUAAAUCCAUUAAGUUAUAUCUGAGGUAUGAUAUACAGUCGUAAGAUGAAUGUACAAAUCCCACGCUGCCAAGAAAAACUUCUAACGUUAAUAUAUGACUGCCCGUACUGUAAACCGACACAGGUGGUCAGGAUGAGAAAUCUAAGGCGGACAGGCUAACUCUCGUUAAGGAACUCUGCAAAAUAACCUCGUAACUUCGGGAGAAGAGGAGCCCUUGUGUGUGAGUAUACACGCGAUACAAAGCGCACGAGGGUCGCAGUGAAGAGGCUCAAGCAACUGUUUAACAAAAACACAGGUCUAUGCUAAGCUGUAAGGCGAUGUAUAUGGGCUGACACCUGCCCAGUGCUGGAAGGUUAAGAGGAGGAGUGAGAGCUCCGAAUUGAAGCCCCAGUGAACGGCGGCCGUAACUAUAACGGUCCUAAGGUAGCGAAAUUCCUUGUCGGGUAAGUUCCGACCUGCACGAAUGGUGUAAUGAUUUGAGCGCUGUCUUGACGGGAGGCCUGGUGAAAUUGUAUUACCGGUGAAGAUACCGGUUACCUACAGUAGGACGGAAAGACCCCAUGGAGCUUUACUGUAGCUUGGUAUUGGGUUUUGGCAUUGCAUGUAUAGGAUAGUUGGGAGACUAUGAUGGUAUGGCGCUAGCUGUAUCGGAGUCAUCGGUGGAAUACCAACCAUUCAAUGCUGAAAUUCUAAUCUGUGGUUUGUCGCCACGGAGACAGUGCUAGGUGGGCAGUUUGACUGGGGCGGUCGCCUCCGAAAGAGUAACGGAGGCGUUCAAAGGUUCUCUCAGGUUGGAUGGAAAUCAACCAUAGAGUGCAAU
rnacentral:rRNA from 1 species